UUCCAGACUCCUACGGGAGGCAGCAGUGGGGAAUAUUGCACAAUGGGGGAAACCCUGAUGCAGCGACGCCGCGUGAGCGAUGAAGUAUUUCGGUAUGUAAAGCUCUAUCAGCAGGGAAGAAAAUGACGGUACCUGACUAAGAAGCCCCGGCUAACUACGUGCCAGCAGCCGCGGUAAUACGUAGGGGGCAAGCGUUAUCCGGAUUUACUGGGUGUAAAGGGAGCGUAGACGGCUGUGCAAGCCAGAUGUGAAAGCCCGGGGCUCAACCCCGGGACUGCAUUUGGAACUGUGUGGCUGGAGUGUCGGAGAGGCAGGCGGAAUUCCUAGUGUAGUGGUGAAAUGCGUAGAUAUUAGGAGGAACACCAGUGGCGAAGGCGGCCUGCUGGACGAUGACUGACGUUGAGGCUCGAAAGCGUGGGGAGCAAACAGGAUUAGAUACCCCUGUA
rnacentral:rRNA from 1 species